rnacentral:rRNA from 1 species
UACAGAGGUCUCAAGCGUUGUUCGGAUUCAUUGGGCGUAAAGGGCGCGUAGGCGGCCACCGCAAGUCAGUUGUGAAAUCUCUGGGCUUAACCCAGAAAGGUCAACUGAUACUGCGGGGCUAGAGUGCAGAAGGGGCAACUGGAAUUCUCGGUGUAGCGGUGAAAUGCGUAGAUAUCGAGAGGAACACCUGCGGCGAAGGCGGGUUGCUGGGCUGACACUGACGCUGAAGCGCGAAAGCUAGGGGAGCGAACGGG